UACGUAGGAUGCAAGCGUUGUCCGGAAUUAUUGGGCGUAAAGAGCGCGCAGGCGGUAUGACAAGUCAGAUGUGAAAGAGGCCGGCUUAACCGGCAAGGGUCAUUUGAAACUGUCAGACUAGAGUGCAGCAGAGGAUAGUGGAAUUCCCGGUGUAGUGGUGAAAUGCGUAGAGUAUCGGGAGGAACACCAGUGGCGAAGGCGACUAUCUGGGCUGCAACUGACGCUGAGGCGCGAAGGCUAGGGUAGCAAACAGG
rnacentral:rRNA from 1 species